rnacentral:rRNA from 1 species
AAAUUGAAGAGUUUGAUCAUGGCUCAGAUUGAACGCUGGCGGCAGGCCUAACACAUGCAAGUCGAACGGUAACAGGAAUCAGCUUGCUGAUUCGCUGACGAGUGGCGGACGGGUGAGUAAUGUCUGGGAAACUGCCUGAUGGAGGGGGAUAACUACUGGAAACGGUAGCUAAUACCGCAUAACGUCGCAAGACCAAAGAGGGGGACCUUC